AAACCAACAGGGAUUGCCUCAGUAGCGGCGAGUGAAGCGGCAAAAGCUCAAAUUUGAAAUCUGGCACCUUCGGUGUCCGAGUUGUAAUUUGAAGAAGGAUCUCUGAGACUGGCCCUUGUCUAUGUUCCUUGGAACAGGACGUCACAGAGGGUGAGAAUCCCGUGCGACGGGGAGUCCAGUUUCAUGUAGAGUUCCUUCGACGAGUCGAGUUGUUUGGGAAUGCAGCUCUAAGUGGGUGGUAAAUUCCAUCUAAAGCUAAAUAUUGGCGAGAGACCGAUAGCGAACAAGUACAGUGAUGGAAAGAUGAAAAGAACUUUGAAAAGAGAGUGAAAAAGUACGUGAAAUUGUUGAAAGGGAAGGGCUUGAGAUCAGACUUGGUAUUUUGUAUGUUCUGCCUUUGGGUGGGGCCUCUGCAGUUUACUGGGCCAGCAUCGGUUUGGACGGUAGGAUAAUUGCGGAGAAAUGUGGCUCGUUCGCGAGUGUUAUAGUCUCUGAGGAUACUGCCUGUCUAGACCGAGGACUGCGAGCAAUCUAGGAUGCUGGCAUAAUGAUUUUAAGCCGC
rnacentral:rRNA from 1 species